CUUUUAUUACUACAAAUUUUAUCUAUUAAGUGGUAGCUGCUAGAUCUGUUAUGGUUUUCUAUGAAUCUGUUAGCCUUACUCUAAUUUUUAGCUCAUUAUAAGUGAUGUAUUCUCUUUUUCUAGUUAACACUUCUAUAUAUUUCAAUAAAGUUCAGUUCAUUCAUUCUCUAUCCUCUCUGAUUUUCUCAUUCACUUUCAUUUCUGAAUUUAACUGUUUGUUUUGUGGAAAAUUCAUAUGCUUAGAUUUUUCUUUCUUAAUAGGCUGAUAUGACCAUGUUAGAAGACGAACUACCAACAAAAAGAUGACUUUCAUCAGCCCUUGUCAAGGUAUAUUGAGAUGAUUUCUUUGGAGCAAUUCUUGACAACAUUUGUAGUUGAGGCCUUUAGAAUGGAAGAACGUAUUUCACUAAUUUUUGUAUACAUUUCUUAUUUUGUAUUUAGUGAUAAAGGAAUCUGAAUUGGGCAUAAAUUAUGUUGUAAUAUGAUUUCUUAAGCCUAGACUAGUAGACUAAAUAUUGUAAUUACAUUUGAGUAAUUAAUAAAAAUCUAUUUAUGUUA